AUUGAACGCUAGCGGCAGGCCUAACACAUGCCAGUCGAACGAGAGGCGGACGGGUGAGUACUGUCUGGGAAACUGACUGAUGGAGUGGGAUCACUACUGGAAACGGUCACUAAUACCGCAUACCAUCGGAUGUGCCCAGAUGGGAUUAUCUAGUAGGUGGGGUAAGGGCUCACCUAGGCGACGAUCCCUAGCUGGUAUGAGAGGAUGACCAGCCAAACUGGAACUGAGACACGGUCCAGACUCCUACGGGAGGCAGCAGUGGGGAAUAUUGCACAAUGGGAGAAAGCCUGAUGCAGCCAUGCGGCGUGUGUGAAGAAGGCCUUCGGGUUGUAAAGCACUUUCAGCGGGGAGGCGUUACUCGCAGAAGAAGCACCGGCUAACUCCGUGCCAGCAGCCGAGGUAAUAC
rnacentral:rRNA from 1 species